rnacentral:rRNA from 2 species
UGGGGAAUAUUGCACAAUGGGCGCAAGCCUGAUGCAGCAACGCCGCGUGAGGGACGACGGCCUUCGGGUUGUAAACCUCUUUUAGUAGGGAAGAAGCGAAAGUGACGGUACCUGCAGAAAAAGCACCGGCUAACUACGUGCCAGCAGCCGCGGUAAUACGUAGGGUGCAAGCGUUGUCCGGAAUUAUUGGGCGUAAAGAGCUCGUAGGCGGUUUGUCGCGUCUGCUGUGAAAUCCCGAGGCUCAACCUCGGGCCUGCAGUGGGUACGGGCAGACUAGAGUGCGGUAGGGGAGAUUGGAAUUCCUGGUGUAGCGGUGGAAUGCGCAGAUAUCAGGAGGAACACCAAUGGCGAAGGCAGAUCUCUGGGCCGUAACUGACGCUGAGGAGCGAAAGCAUGGGGAGCGAACAGG